CUGCCCCGCCUCAAACCUCUCCUUCCCCGUGGACUUAUCACCAGCACCACCUGUCCAGUUGCUCACGUCACAGUCUAAGUCCCCCUCUUCUUCCCUCAGUCCCCAGCCCCAGCCAUCACCAGGACCAAGAGACCCCAUCUCUGGCACCUCUCCAUUUCUGUUCCUGCUGCCUCCUUCGCUGUGUCACUGGCCUGGGCCACAGCACUGGCUCCUUCCCUGGAUUCUCUGCUGCCACCCUCCACUGGCACCCACACCACACACACCGGACCUCUGUCCCACCUCACUGCACGUCAUCCUCAACAUUCCCCAGGCUGGCCUUCGUUUAGGUAUUUGAACACCUGGAGCUGGUUCCUGCCUCGGGCACUGCCUAACUGUUCCUUCUAACUGGAAAGCUCUACCUCCAAAGAUGACUGACAGAUCCUCAUAACCUCCUGACAGCAGCAGUCCAGACCAACCACAAUGGCAUGGUUACCCGGCACCUUCUAUCAGCUCAUUCUACCUCAGGACAACCCCUGGCCAACGAUGUGUUGCAUUCACAUGGACAGAGGCCCACAGGGAGCAAGAACCGGCCGGUCCCACAGCUACCAAGGGCUCCAGCUGCCAACGUGUUCAUCAAAUAUGUAUCUUGCACCUAUCUGCCAGGUGCUCUCCUAAGCUCUGGAGAGAAACCAUAAACAAGAGGUGGCCCUGCCCCGUCACGGUCAGCCAAAGCCUUUCUACACGUCUAAAAGCUCAUUGAUGCGUUCAGACACAGUCUAGAGGGAGAUCUGGGAGGGAGUGCACGGGGAGACUGAGAAUGAGAUGAAUAUCUUUUCAGAAUUGAACCAGAACAUUGAGGAUUACAACUGUAAAUAAAAGAGCUAUAGACCUCAUGGCACUAAUGGGGGAAAAAAUAGAACAGAAUUUCAAAUAGAUUAUAAAAUAAUAAUUUGUAACCUGAGUUGGACUUUGUUUUGAUGUAUAAGCUAAACAUAAGAGCCUCUUACAGGUUCUGCCACUUGCAAUAACAGCAAUGAGUUUAUAUUCUAUGAAAUGUAAGGCACUACAAUGCAAUCCAAAUUUUAACAACAGCUGUCUGUAUAAAAGCAGAACAUGUCUUUUUCUCCUACCUUUCAAUAUCACAAAAAACUGAUGUUGUAUUAUAAUUUCUAUGAUCACACAUUCAAGUUUAGAAAAAUCUAAACAUGCUGUUUCGUAAGUUGAAAAUGAUGGCAAUAUAUAUACAUAAUUAGGAGGGGAAGACAGGGCACAGAAUACUGGGGCCAGAGAAGCUGGGCUCCUUUUCCCUAAUCACUCAAAACAUUAACAGAAACCCUCACUUGUCAAUUAGGGAUCAUGAAAUAACAGUAACAAAAUGGGGAAGCCAAGAAAGAUGCACUAUUCCCUCUCCACAUCGGUCACAGGCAGGGAAUUCAGUGAGGUUAUUCAGAUCCUCAAAACACCUGAAGCUGGAAGAUGCUAGCACUAAAUGCAAAAUGACAGCUUUGUCACCUAGGGCCAGUGACAGCCCACCGGGAUGAACAGGAGAAGCCCCUCGCACCCACUCCGCCACCACUGUUGCCCAAAAACAACAGAUGCUGUCUUUAGUCUGCAUUUGGUAAUGUGGUAAAAGGUACAUUCCCGCACCAGCAGACUCCAUCAUGAGUUAUUGCAGGGACAAAAGCCCUCAGUCUGGACUAUGCUACCUCCACCCAUUAGGCCUGGGGCUUCUCUCAGCAACCUGUUCCCCUAUCACUUAGGAGCUGGUCAGCCAUCCAGUAAAUGUUAAACAAACAAUGGCUGCUUCAGCAUUGAUAAUUGAUCAAUUUAAAUGACAGAAGAGCAAUAUCAAUUUCAAUUACAUAAGGGCCAUACAGACCCUGUGUGCUUUUUUUAUUACAUCCACAUAAACUGCUGGAAGCGGCCUGGGGUUUUUUUUCUUAACCAGACAUAAAAACAAUCGCAGCAGGUAUUGUGUGUUUCAUGUCAAACUUAAGGGAACAUAGUUCCUCAAACUUUUGCCCCGUCUCUGGCUGCAGGGAGGGACCAUUUGGGAAGGCUGAGAACACAGUUUGACUCUGAACUUAAUCUCAAAGCAGAAAGAGCGGAGAAUGGGCCAGAGCAGAGGCAUAUAAGAAGGGAGAGAAAAAGCAAAUGCUCUCUUUCCUUACUUCUCUCCUAGAUCUUUCUCCAAUACAUGGCCUAAAUGCAAACCAGACUCCCUUCAAUUCUGCUUGCCAUUCAGACACACACACACACACACACACACACACAC